AAUAAAAGUAAAGUCAGCUAACUAAGCUAUUGGGCCCAUACCCCGAAAAUGUUGGUUUAAACCCCUCCUUUACUA
rnacentral:tRNA from 1 species